rnacentral:tRNA from 1 species
UUUGUUUUGGUGUAGUUAGCACGAUGGCUUUUCGUGCCAGGGGGAGUAUUGUUACUAAACAAGG